CUAAUACAUGCAAGUCGAGCGAACAGACGAGGAGCUUGCUCCUCUGACGUUAGCGGCGGACGGGUGAGUAACACGUGGAUAACCUACCUAUAAGACUGGGAUAACUUCGGGAAACCGGAGCUAAUACCGGAUAAUAUAUUGAACCGCAUGGUUCAAUAGUGAAAGACGGUUUUGCUGUCACUUAUAGAUGGAUCCGCGCCGCAUUAGCUAGUUGGUAAGGUAACGGCUUACCAAGGCAACGAUGCGUAGCCGACCUGAGAGGGUGAUCGGCCACACUGGAACUGAGACACGGUCCAGACUCCUACGGGAGGCAGCAUUAGGGAAUCUUCCGCAAUGGGCGAAAGCCUGACGGAGCAACGCCGCGUGAGUGAUGAAGGUCUUCGGAUCGUAAAACUCUGUUAUUAGGGAAGAACAAAUGUGUAAGUAACUAUGCACGUCUCGACGGUACCUAAUCAGAAAGCCACGGCUAACUACGUGCCAGCAGCCGCGGUAAUACGUAGGUGGCAAGCGUUAUCCGGAAUUAUUGGGCGUAAAGCGCGCGUAGGCGGUUUUUUAAGUCUGAUGUGAAAGCCCACGGCUCAACCGUGGAGGGUCAUUGGAAACUGGAAAACUUGAGUGCAGAAGAGGAAAGUGGAAUUCCAUGUGUAGCGGUGAAAUGCGCAGAGAUAUGGAGGAACACCAGUGGCGAAGGCGACUUUCUGG
rnacentral:rRNA from 1 species